CGCCUGUUUAUCAAAAACAUGUCUUUUUGUUAAUUAUUUAAAGUCUGGCCUGCUCCAUGAGUAAUUAAAUAGCCGCAGUAUUUUGACUGUGCAAAGGUAGCAUAAUCAUUAGUUUUUUAAUUGAAAGCUGGUAUGAAUGGUCGGAUGAAGAAGAUUCUGUCUCAUUUUAAUUUACAAUUGAUUUUAUUUUUAAGUCAAAAAGCUUAAAUUUUAUAGAAAGACGAGAAGACCCUAUAGAGUUUAAUAGGUUUAUUUUACAAUAAAUUUAGGAUUUUAUUUUUAUUGUGAUUUGAACUAUUUUGUUGGGGUGACAUUUGGAUUAUAAGAUUAAAUUACCUUAGGGAUAACAGCGUAAUUCUUUUGGAGAGUUCUAAUCAAUAGAAUUUAAAUAAACUUCUUUUUAUAUUAACACUGAUUGGUGAAUAUAGGAUCCUGAUUUAAAAGGGAUUGCGACCUCGAUGUUGGAUUAAAGUUAAAUCUUGGUGCAGAAGCUAGGAUUUUAAGUCUGUUCGACUUUUGAAACUUUACGUGAUCUGAGUUAAGAGCCG
rnacentral:rRNA from 1 species